rnacentral:rRNA from 1 species
GGCUAACUUUCUGUACAGCACUCAGGGAGAUGUAUAGUCCUCUUAUGAGGCUAGUAAUGUUUGAGAUAGAUGUAUAUUAAUACAUAUAGACCCUAUACAAACAUAACACCAACUACGUUGGAUAAAAUUCUAGAUAGAAGACUGAUUGUGACAAUUUUCUAUCUACUUGUCUUGACCAAAUUACGUGCCAGCAGUCGCGGUAAUACGUAAAAGACUAGUGUUAUCCAUCUUUAAUAGGUUUAAAGGGUACCUAGACGGCAUUAUUAACCUUAAAUACGGAUAUAAUUUUUGCUAGAGUUUGAUAAGAGAAGGGGAGUAUUUACGGAGUAGAGAUGAAAUUCUUUGAUACCUUAAGGACUGGCAAUGGCGAAAGCGACCUUUUAUGUAAAAACUGACGUUGAGGGACGGAGGCUUGGAUAGCGAACAGGAUUAGAUACCCUAGUAGUCUUUGCAGAGAAUGAUGAAUGCCAUAGAUUAGAUAUUUUUAGUUUAUAAAUGAAAGUGUAAGCAUUCCACCUCAAGAGUAAUGUGGCAACGCAGGAACUGAAAUCAUUAGACCGUUUCUGAGAACAGUAGUGAAGUAUGUUAUUUAAUUCGUUAAUCCGCAACAC